ensembl:lncRNA
GUUUAUCAGUACUGUACAAAGAGAUUGAGGUUGACUUAUAAGAUGUAGGAGAAAAAUAUGUUUUGUUUUUCAUGUACAUAUAACUUGGAUAGAUUUGAGUUUUUUUGUUAUUUCUGUUUUUUUUAUGGUAGUUUAGGUGUUUUUGUUUUAGGUUUUAAUUCAGAUGUUGAAGUGUGAUGGUUGUCUGAAUCUUGACAGGGAAAUCUGAUAAGCUAUGAAAAAUUGCAAGGUGCCUUGUGGAAGAAAAAAAAAAUGAAAAAGACUGUAUACUGAAAAAGACGUUGUGUUGUAUGUGCUGGUUUACUUUCAGAGUAUCCAAAAUAAAGACUCAUCCUUUUGGUGAAUUUUAAAACGCAGUAGAGUUUAUCAAAUUGAAGUGGAUCUGUAGUUACAUUUCUAUGUGCUGGAAAUAAUUUUGUUUGAGGUGGGUGGAUACUUCACAGACCACGGAUCUAGGACCACAUUGUACACCAAAAAAUAACAACUUGGAGAUAGAUAAAAUAUCUGACAUGGCACCAUAAUCUGGGUUUGAUAAGCAACUUCUACCUACUAAUUGACACUUGUGUGUUUCCUGUAUUUGUAUGUGAAAUUGUGUUUGUGAAAGUGUGAAUGACUUUUAGAUGUCCUCACUGCAGGAAGCAAACUGGAACAGUCCUGCAACACUGUUGUAUAUUGAGAUAUGGAUCCUACCAAAUGUUUUGUGUAAUGAUUUUGAAAAGCCAGUCCUAUUGAGUUUUUCUGAAUAUCUUGGUUUGCCCAUAGAUUUACAUUUACCUAUUCCUUUCACCAGUCAGCAAAAGAUCUGUUUUUUUCUUACUCAGAAUUUUAAAUGAAGUGUUUCUAUGAGACAUUCCAGAUUAAUGAUCUCAAUAUGCCUCUUGACACACAGUUUGAUUCCUCCUGAUCAGUAGGUAUUAAGUGGGAAAUGUUUAAUAAGUGGCUGGUAGGCAAUGUUAGACCUUUUUACGAAUGUGCCACUUUUUUUGUCUAGUUUCUUUUGAUCAUCCAUCCUAUUGCUGAAUAAGAAACACAAAUGUAAGGCAGUUUGAAAAGGCCCAUGAAGUAAAUGUUUGAUGUGCAUUCAAAUGCUUAAUUGACAUUAAAGAUAAACAUCCAUUUGCAUAAUGAAAAUCAUUCAAAGAAAGAUUUUGCCAUACAGCUUGAGGUUAACCGUUUUGCUUUUAUGCUUUUGCAGUAUACCAGAACGUUUGUACAAUACUGCUGAUUUGCAUAAUUACCUUACUAUCACUUGUAAAUAAAGAUAGUAAAUUAAGUUAUGGUUGUAAAUGUGUAUAACAACGCAUGGACACAAUUUCCCCACCCAACGAUCCAAAGAAUGGUAUUCGAAAUACUAACCUUCCCUAUUAUAAAUUCUAGACUGUUGUCAGAGCUAUGUCUCUGACUGUUGUACAUAAGCUUGUAAAGUGGUAAAAAUAUACACACUAUUUCAAUGUCUGUGUGUGAUGUAUCUUUUUGGUUUGAAAGGCGCUGCAGAAAUAAAAGG